UACGUAGGGUGCGAGCGUUGUCCGGAAUUAUUGGGCGUAAAGAGCUCGUAGGCGGUCUGUCGCGUCGAUCGUGAAAACUUGGGGCUUAACCCUGAGCUUGCGGUCGAUACGGGCAUGACUGGAGUUCGGCAGGGGAGACUGGAAUUCCUGGUGUAGCGGUGAAAUGCGCAGAUAUCAGGAGGAACACCGGUGGCGAAGGCGGGUCUCUGGGCCACUACUGACGCUGAGAAGCGAAAGCGUGGGGAGCGAACAGG
rnacentral:rRNA from 1 species